AGAGUUUGAUCCUGGCUCAGAUUGAACGCUGGCGGCAUGCUUUACACAUGCAAGUCGAACGGCAGCACGGGGUAACCUGGUGGCGAGUGGCGAACGGGUGAGUAAUAUAUCGGAACAUGUCUGGAAGUGGGGGAUAACGUAGCGAAAGUUACGCUAAUACCGCAUAUGCCCUGAGGGGGAAAGGGGGGGAUCGCAAGACCUCUCGCUUUCGGAGUGGCCGAUAUCAGAUUAGCUAGUUGGUGGGGUAAAGGCCUACCAAGGCAACGAUCUGUAGCUGGUCUGAGAGGACGACCAGCCACACUGGAACUGAGACACGGUCCAGACUCCUACGGGAGGCAGCAGUGGGGAAUUUUGGACAAUGGGCGCAAGCCUGAUCCAGCCAUGCCGCGUGAGUGAAGAAGGCCUUCGGGUUGUAAAGCUCUUUCAGCCGGAAAGAAAACGCACGGGUUAAUAACCUGUGUGGAUGACGGUACCGGAAGAAGAAGCACCGGCUAACUACGUGCCAGCAGCCGCGGUAAUACGUAGGGUGCGAGCGUUAAUCGGAAUUACUGGGCGUAAAGCGUGCGCAGGCGGAUUGUUAAGCAAGACGUGAAAUCCCCGGGCUUAACCUGGGAAUGGCGUUUUGAACUGGCAGUCUAGAGUGUGUCAGAGGGGGGUAGAAUUCCACGUGUAGCAGUGAAAUGCGUAGAGAUGUGGAGGAAUACCAAUGGCGAAGGCAGCCCCCUGGGAUAACACUGACGCUCAUGUACGAAAGCGUGGGUAGCAAACAGGAUUAGAUACCCUGGUAGUC
rnacentral:rRNA from 1 species